UUCGCAAUGCCCGAAAGGGUGACGAAGCGAUGCCGCGUGGAGGAGGAAGGCCUUCGGGUUGUAAACUCCUGUCAGGGGUUAUGAAGGCAUGUCCGGAAAUACCGGUCAUGUUUGACGAAGGCCCCAAAGGAAGCUCCGGCUAAAUCCGUGCCAGCAGCCGCGGUAAUACGGAUGGAGCGAGCGUUGUUCGGAAUCACUGGGCAUAAAGCGCAUGUAGGCGGCUCUGAAAGUCAGGUGUGAAAGCCCCCGGCCCACCCGGGGAACUGCACUUGAAACUUCAGGGCUUGAGUGAAGGAGGGGAGAGUGGAACUCCUGGUGGAGCGGUAAAAUGCGUAGAUAUCAGGAGGAACGCCGGUGGAGAAGUCGACUCUCUGGCCUUUUACUGACGCUGAGAUGCGAAAGCUAGGGGAGCGAACGGGAUUAGAUACCCCGGUAGUCCUAGCCGUAAACGAUGGGCACUAAGUAGAGGGGUUUU
rnacentral:rRNA from 1 species